AGUGAACGCUGGCGGUAGGCCUAACACAUGCAAGUCGAACGGCAGCACAGUAAGAGCUUGCUCUUACGGGUGGCGAGUGGCGGACGGGUGAGGAAUACAUCGGAAUCUACUUUUUCGUGGGGGAUAACGUAGGGAAACUUACGCUAAUACCGCAUACGACCUACGGGUGAAAGCAGGGGAUCUUCGGACCUUGCGCGAUUGAAUGAGCCGAUGUCGGAUUAGCUAGUUGGCGGGGUAAAGGCCCACCAAGGCGACGAUCCGUAGCUGGUCUGAGAGGAUGAUCCCCCACACUGGAACUGAGACACGGUCCAGACUCCUGCGGGAGGCAGCAGUGGGGAAUAUUGGACAAUGGGCGCGAGCCUGAUCCAGCCAUACCGCGUGGGUGAAGAAGGCCUUCGGGUUGUAAAGCCCUUUUGUUGGGAAAGAAAAGCAGCAGGUUAAUACCCCGCUGUUCUGACGGUACCCAAAGAAUAAGCACCGGCUAACUUCGUG
rnacentral:rRNA from 1 species